UGCCAGCAGCCGCGGUAAUACGGAGGGGGUUAGCGUUGUUCGGAAUUACUGGGCGUAAAGCGCACGUAGGCGGACUGGAAAGUUGGGGGUGAAAUCCCGGGGCUCAACCUCGGAACUGCCUCCAAAACUACUAGUCUAGAGUUCGAGAGAGGUGAGUGGAAUUCCGAGUGUAGAGGUGAAAUUCGUAGAUAUUAGGAGGAACACCAGUGGCGAAAGCGACUGCCUGGACCAUUACUGACGCUGAGGCGCGAAAGCGUGGGGAGCAAACAGGAUUAGAUA
rnacentral:rRNA from 1 species